AGAUACUGUAGAGAGAGAGGAACAGAUCUGAUCAUCAUCAACAACAGAGAGGAACAAGAUUUUGUGAAGAAUAUUUGUGGUUCUGAUCAUUUCUGGAUUGGUUUGACUGAUGUUGAAGAGGAGGGCAGAUGGAAAUGGGUUGAUGGCAGCAACAUCAACAUCACCUCUGGGUUCUGGAAGUCUGGAGAACAUAAACAGCCAGACGACUAUCAGGGAAAUGAAGACUGUGCUAACACUCAUUCAUCAGGAUGCUUUGAUACUAAAUGUGAUGGUAGUGUUAAAUGGAUCUGUGAGAAGAGUAUCCUUAAAUAAAUGAUACAUUAUAAUAGAAAUGUACAUAUAUGCAUCAUGAACAAAUAAAUAUGUCGGUAA